rnacentral:rRNA from 1 species
CCUACGGGUGGCAGCAGUAGGGGAUAUUGCACAAUGGGGGAAACCCUGAUGCAGCGACGCCGCGUGAGUGAAGAAGUAUUUCGGUAUGUAAAGCUCUAUCAGCAGGGAAGAAAAUGACAGUACCUGACCAAGAAGCCCCGGCUAACUACGUGCCAGCAGCCGCGGUAAUACGUAGGGGGCAAGCGUUAUCCGGAUUUACUGGGUGUAAAGGGUGCGUAGGCGGGUAUGUAAGUCUGGAGUGAAAGCCCGUGGCGCAACCCCGGGACUGCUUUGGAAACUGUGUAACUGGAGUAUAGGAGGGGUAGGCGGAAUUCCUGGUGUAGCGGUAAAAUGCGUAGAUAUCAGGAGGAACAC